GACAUUGUGUAUGAUUACAUAGGCCUAUUUAUCACAAAUGCAAUGUGUAAGAAACAUUAGACUACUAAUUAUAAAUGCACAAUAGAAAAGAAAAACAUGUCAAUCAUACUUCAGUUAAAUAUACAUAUCGAAGGCGAAAACAUCUUGUUUUUAUUCCGUCCAAAGAUUUGUGAGCAUAUAUUUCGAACGAUCAUCAAACGAUGUUGCUUUUUUAGGUUCUAACCGGUCAAUAGAAAUACGUAGCCUACUGUAGAUAUUCUUAUUUGGAUAUGCGGACCCCUUAAAGCACCAUCAUGCACCCCUUAGGGGUUCAUGGACCCCAGGUUAAGAACCCCUGUUCUAGAUAUAGUCAGUGUUCUUACUUUUCCAGCUGCCAGUUGCAAAGUGUGACAAUGCUGUUUUGGUACAGCUUCCAGAAGCAACAACUGUUCUUCCACGAGAAAAAUUCCUAAACCAAAACCACUGACAAAAUGGCAAGAAUUUGCAAAAAAAAAGGGAAUUCGAAAACAGAAACGCGGAAAGAUGCUUUGGGAUAAGACCACCAAAGCAAGAUGAUUGUGUGUGUUGUAUUUCUGUAAAAGGAUUUUUGUUUAUGUGCUCUCGUAAUGUGGCGUUUGUUUCAAUGUGUAAAUAUUUCGGUUCUUCUAUGUAAAUAUUUCGCUGCUCAGUUAAUGUAAAAAGACUACAUUCUUAAGGCAUGAGUAAUGAUUUUUACAAACAUUUACGUUAGAGCGUGGGUCGCGUUCAUUAAUUAUUCAAAAAGUAACAAUUUCAUUGACUGCUGGAAAUAAAGCAUUGUAUACUAUUAUAUCCAUUCGCGUUCAACUGGUUCG